ensembl:lncRNA
CCUAAUGCUCGGCUCCCUUUUAGCUGCAAUGUGCAGGGGCGCGUCGCUUCUCGUGCAGGAGGGAUCGCUCGUGGCGGUGCGCGGCAAAAAGUUCUGCCAUCCAAGGGAACCGCAUGUAACAGGGCAGCGGUUGGGAGAGUUUGCAGGGAAAGCUUUCAACUUUUACAGACUGCCUGUGCAAUCAUUUAAAAGUAGUUGCAAACCGCUUUGAACUAACAAGGGUUUAAUUACGGAAAAGUUUAAUGUGGCGAUGGAAGGAAUAUUAAGGCAAGAGAAGCCAAUUUUGGGAGCAUGCUCAUUGUGAUACCCUCAGUGAUUACUGUUUCAAUACAUACUCGUCAGGGCUGAGAUUGUAACUGAUCAGUGAAAGAAAAAAAUUCAAAAGAAAAAGGAAACUGAAGAAGUUAAUUGUACCAGAGCAGAAUCCAGCGAAGAUCCAUUUGUGAAUGAAGGGGACUGAAAAUGUUGGAGCCCGUCCAUGUUGCUGUGACUUUGCUACGGAGCUGCUGCCACAGUACUGUGUGCUAAUAUCCAUCUCAUUAGAUAGCAGGAGAAUAGCCAGUUUGUUCAUGGAAACAGUGCUUCCCCAGACAAGUAAUAAUCCGCCUAAUGUCAAUGUCAUGCUACAAUCAGACUCUGACAAGGUUUGCAAAUACCUUGAAAGGAACUGCUCAUCUUUGACUGCUGUAGAUCAAAGCCCGACCAGAACAAAAAGCAAGUAUGCUGCAUGUCAGCUGCAGUGCAUUGUUGAUGAGCACAGCAUGUAUAAGCAGAGGCCACCGCUAUCAUCACCAGCAGGAAGAGCCAGAUGGACUGGGCUGGUCUACUACUUAAAACCUUGCUGCAUAACCACAAAAACUAAAAAUGAAGCUUAAAAACUCAUUACUCAUCUCCAGAGCCCCAGACUGUCUUUUUAAAGCUUUGAGUCCAUUUUUAAGCAAUGCCAAAGACUUUUUUAGACAUGUCUGUUCUCAGCAACUUCUGUCUGUUUUUCGCUAUUCAUCAGGAUAUAAUUAGUUUGGGGGAGGGAGAGGAUGGAGGACGGCUGUUCAAGCAGAGGGAUCAUCCAUAAACCCACCCAGCUCUGCCACAGAUAUGCAUGCUCUGCAACUGGGAAAGUCAUUUACUCUGUGUGCACUUAUUUUUCCAACUGUGAAAUGGGGGCAACAUCUCAUCUAUAACUGUAACUCAAGGCCUGAUUCAUUAAUGCUUUUCCAGCAUGCUCUAUGGGAUGAUGAGCUAGUAUGCUGUGGGAAAAGACAGGACAGCCAACAAGAUAAAGUACAGGUUGUGCUGCACCACAUGCCCUCUGGGUACUGUGCUUGUGAGGUAAAACCACUCCUUUUUUCUUCCAUAGUGUCUCUAUCAUAUUUGAGGGUUAAGAAGUUGUGGAAGGCCAAGGCAGGUUCUCCAUGUGUUGGUUCAGCUGUACUUUCCAGUGUGUGUGGGGCACAGUGAAGCCAGUGUGCAGCAGAAGUUGCAUGUGUGGGUUUAAACCAACCUUCAAUUCUGGCCAGCAGAACUAAAGGGUGUCGCAGGUCAAAAGGACCUCACCUGAUAAUGCCUGCACUUGAGUUUAGAGAAUGUAUCUCAGUGAUGUUGUGCAGAGCUAGGGAGGCCUGUAGGAGACAUCCACCUACUGCCCUUAUGCAGCAGGAAGUCAUGACAGCCCCUCGCGUGGGUAACGCUGGGAAGCCUCUGUCUUAACCUUGGAAGCCCAUCUGGUGUUGCUGUAUGAGAUGACAGACUGUAAUGCUACCAUCUGACAAUUUUAGUCAAUUAGAUUACUUCGGGUGAAAACACAAAUUAGAAAAAGACCAAUUGCUGAAAGUCUGUGUUUUUCUUCCUAAGAUAAUGUUUUUCUUUUGCCCUAGGCUCCCCUUGCAAUGUUUUAAUGUGGACGUUAUAUGCUGAGAACUUUUAUUUCCCAUGAAUACAUAAAUCACCUAAGAAAAAUGCAGAGAAGAGUCUCUAAAACAUAUAUAUUUUUCAGUCUCUGUGAGAAAAUUCUAGCUCUUUAUCUUGUAAGAAUCCU